rnacentral:rRNA from 1 species
GACAGAGGUGCCGAGCGUUAGGCGGAAUCACUGGGCUUAAAGCGUGUGUAGGCGGGCCGUUAAGUGUCUUGUGAAAUCCCCCGGCUCAACCGGGGAAUUGCUGGGCAUACUGGCGGUCUUGAGCGAUCUAGGGGCAGAUGGAACAAGUGGUGGAGCGGUGAAAUGCGUAGAUAUCCGGAGGAAUACCAAAGGCGAAGGCAGUGUCCUGGCUGGCAUCUGACGCUGAGGCGCGAAAGCUAGGGGAGCGAACGGG